UGAUAUUGUUAUCACUGGGAGUGACUCUGAAUGUAUUUCAUCCCUUAAACACUUUCUUUAAACCCAGUUUCAAACAAAAGACUUAGGCCUACUCAAGUAUUUUUUGGUAUUGAAGUUAUGAGAAGAAAGGUAUCUCCGUGUCUUAGUGGAAGCAUAUUCUUAAUCUAUUGACAGAAACUGGGAAAUUAGGUGUUAAGCCUUGUAAUGCGCCAAUGACCUUGAAUCUGCAACUUGGAGCAGAGGAUAGUAAGCUAUUUGAAGAUCCAAAAAAAUAUAGGAGAUUGGUAGGUAAAUUGAACUAUUUUACAAUAAUUCGUCCUGAUGUUGCAUACUCAGUCAGUGUGAUAGUCAGUUUAUAUCUUUCCCAACUCUUACUCAUUAAGAAGCUUUGGGAUAAAUUUUGUGGUAUUUAAAGGGAGCUCGAGGGCGAGGCUUAUUAUAUAGUA
rnacentral:misc_RNA from 1 species